UCACACCUGUAAUCCCAGCACUUUGGAAGGCUGAGCUGGGAGGAUUGCUUGAGGCUGGCAGUUUGAGACUUCUUCCAUUUUAAGGGACCUUGUGAUUACAGCUGGUCCAUCUGGAUAUUCUAAGAUACUCUCCCUAUUUUAAGGAAGAUGAAUAAGAAGAGGGAGCCUCUUCCAGGAAGAUAAAUGCCGAAAAAGCUACCCUUUCUCCAUCUGGGGAUGGAUGAUGCCAAAAUGAUGCCCCCUUCCAGGCUGAUAUGGAGAGAAAUCUGAAAUCUGAGGUGCAGUUGAUUUGAAUCCAGGAAAUCUAAGGAAAAAGUUCAAGCUCUUAAUCAUUUCAUACCCUCCUUGUUGUUAAUUUAAACUUUUUUUUAAAAAAAGUUAAUCUUGUCUAUGAAGCAUGAAUCUCUAAUACUAGGGGAAAAACUGGCUAACUUGAAGAAAAAAUAAAUUGAAAUGGAAAGCAA
rnacentral:lncRNA from 1 species